GAGAGAGAGAGAGAGGAGAUACCUUGUUGGACCCAAAGCUCCGGGGCGCCUGCAGAGGGACGGGGUUCCUGGGGAAGAAGCCAUCGGGGUAGAGGAGGGCGAACACACAUCCCACCAGAACUCCGACCCCAAUCGCGACCGCGAUCCGUGAUCCGCGCGACCAGGGGACGGACGAGCCGCUUCCCCUCAUCAAAGGCGCCCCUCUGUUGCCCAUCGUCGCACCUCCUCCAGAUCAGUAACGGAGGAGCGACAGACCGACCGAACAGAUCGAAACCUAGCCACAAAAUCCAAGAAGGGGGAGAUGAGCAGAGGACCCCGCCUCAGGAACCCUAGAAAUCUCUCUCCCCCGCAAGGAGAGAAAUCUGACCGGAGAAGAUCAAGAGCCGCGUAGGUGGGAGGUCGGAGAGAGGGAGAGGGAGAGAGAGAGAGAGAGAGACAGCGACCCCGGGGCAGUUGAAGUCGGAAUUCGAAGGAUUUAAUGUCUUGAUAGGAGGAUGGAAAGUCAAAGGUCAUGCCAUUCAUAACGCUUAAAGUUCAUAGCAACUGUUGAAACAUAAUAAUCUCCCCCCCAUAUGCCGACCCGGUGCGUAUCCAUUUUUAAUAACGACCCAUACGUUGAUGAGAU
rnacentral:lncRNA from 1 species